AGUGAACGCUGGCGGCAGGCCUAACACAUGCAAGUCGAACGGCAGCACAAGAGCGCUUGCUCUCUGAGUGGCGAGUGGCGGCCGGGUGAGGAAUGCAUCGGAAUCUGCCCAUUUGUGGGGGAUAACCUCGGGAAACCGGGACUAAUACCGCAUACGACCUACGGGUGAAAGCAGGGGAUCUUCGGACCUUGCGCAGAUGGAUGAGCCGAUGCCGGAUUAGCUAGUUGGAGGGGUAAAGGCCCACCAAGGCGACGAUCCGUAGCUGGUCUGAGAGGAUGAUCAGCCACACUGGGACUGAGACACGGCCCAGACUCCUACGGGAGGCAGCAGUGGGGAAUAUUGGACAAUGGGCGCAAGCCUGAUCCAGCCAUGCCGCGUGUGUGAAGAAGGCCUUCGGGUUGUAAAGCACUUUUGUUGGGAAAGAAAAGCAGCCGGUUAAUACCCGGUUGUCAUGACGGUACCCAAAGAAUAAGCACCGGCUAACUUCGUG
rnacentral:rRNA from 1 species